UUGACCUCAGAUCAGGUAGGAAUACCCGCUGAACUUAAGCAUAUCAAUAAGCGGAGGAAAAGAAACCAACAGGGAUUGCCCUAGUAACGGCGAGUGAAGCGGCAACAGCUCAAAUUUGAAAUCUGGCGCAAGCCCGAGUUGUAAUUUGUAGAGGAUGUUUCUGGCGACGUGCCUUCCGAGUUCCCUGGAACGGGACGCCAUAGAGGGUGAGAGCCCCGUACGGUUGGAUGCCUAGCCUCUGUGAAACUCCUUCGACGAGUCGAGUAGUUUGGGAAUGCUGCUCUAAAUGGGAGGUAUACGUCUUCUAAAGCUAAAUACCGGCCAGAGACCGAUAGCGCACAAGUAGAGUGAUCGAAAGAUGAAAAGCACUUUGAAAAGAGGGUUAAAAAGUACGUGAAAUUGUUGAAAGGGAAGCGUUCAUGACCAGACUUGAGCAGGUUGAUCAUCCGUGGUUCUCCGCGGUGCACUCUGCCUGCUCAGGCCAGCAUCAGUUCGCUCCGGGGGAUAAAGGUUUUGGGAAUGUGGCUCCUUCGGGAGUGUUAUAGCCCACUGCGUAAUACCCUGGGGUGGACUG
rnacentral:rRNA from 1 species